rnacentral:rRNA from 1 species
UACGUAGGCAGCAAGCGUUGUUCGGAUUCACUGGGUUUAAAGGGUGCGUAGGCGGGCAGGUAAGUCAGUGGUGAAAUCCUAGAGCUUAACUCUAGAACUGCCAUUGAUACUAUCUGUCUUGAAUAUUGUGGAGGUAAGCGGAAUAUGUCAUGUAGCGGUGAAAUGCUUAGAUAUGACAUAGAACACCUAUUGCGAAGGCAGCUUACUACGCAUAUAUUGACGCUGAGGCACGAAAGCGUGGGGAUCAAACAGG